AGGUGCUGCAUGGCUGUCGUCAGCUCGUGUCGUGAGAUGUUGGGUUAAGUCCCGCAACGAGCGCAACCCUUGCCUGUAGUUGCCAUCAGGUGAAGCUGGGCACUCUGCGGGGACUGUCGGCGAAAAGCCGGAGGAAGGUGGGGAUGACGUCAAGUCCUCAUGGCCUUUAUGCCCCGGGCGACACACGUGCUACAAUGGGCGGUACAAAGGGAAGCCAACCCGCGAGGGGGAGCGAAUCCCACAAAGCCGCUCCCAGUUCGGAUUGCAGUCUGCAACUCGACUGCAUGAAGGUGGAAUCGCUAGUAAUCGCGGAUCAGCAUGCCGUGGUGAAUACGUUCCCGGGCCUUGUACACACCGCCCGUCACA
rnacentral:rRNA from 1 species